rnacentral:rRNA from 1 species
UACAGAGGGUGCGAGCGUUAAUCGGAAUUACUGGGCGUAAAGCGUGCGUAGACGGCUAUCUAAGUCGGGUGUGAAAGCCCCGGGCUUAACCUGGGAACUGCGUUUGAAACUGGGAGACUUGAGUGUGGCAGAGGGGGGUGGAAUUCCACGUGUAGCAGUGAAAUGCGUAGAUAUGUGGAGGAACACCGAUGGCGAAGGCAGCCCCCUGGGUUAACACUGACGCUCAUGCACGAAAGCGUGGGGAGCAAACAGG